CUGGGGACCACUCUGGCACCUUGAGGAGGAGCCAAUCUGAUAGGACCGAAUACAACCAGAAAUUACAAGAAAAGAUGACUCCACAGGGUGAGUGUUCUGUAGCUGAGACCUUAACCCCAGAGGAAGAGCACCAAAUGAAGAGGAUGAUGGCAAAGCGGGAAAAGAUCAUUAAGGAGCUGAUACAGACAGAAAAGGAUUAUCUCAAUGAUCUAGAGCUGUGUGUUAGGGAAGUGGUUCAGCCCCUGAGAAAUAAAAAGAUUGAUAGGCUGGAUGUGGAUAGCUUGUUUAGCAACAUUGAGUCGGUGCAUCAGAUAUCAGCCAAGCUGCUGUCAUUGUUGGAAGAGGCCACAACAGACGUGGAACCGGCCAUGCAAGUAAUUGAGGCAAACCAAACUUAUUGGACAUGGGCUCUUUGAUGAUCAAACCAAUUCAACGUGUGAUGAAAUACCCGCUAUUACUGUGCGAACUUCGGAAUUCCACCCCUCCCUCUCA
rnacentral:sRNA from 1 species